UCCUGGCUGAGGACUGGCUCCUCUGUCCCUGCUCCAGAUUGACGAGAUGCCUGAGGCUGCCGUGAAAUCAACAGCCAACAAAUACCAAGUCUUUUUUUUCGGGACCCACGAGACGGCAUUCCUGGGCCCCAAAGACCUCUUCCCUUACGAGGAAUCCAAGGAGAAGUUUGGCAAGCCCAACAAGAGGAAAGGGUUCAGCGAGGGGCUGUGGGAGAUCGAGAACAACCCUACUGUCAAGGCUUCUGGCUAUCAGUCCUCCCAGAAAAAGAGCUGUGUGGAAGAGCCUGAACCUGAGCCCGAAGCCACAGAGGGUGACGGUGAUAAGAAGGGGAAUGCAGAGGGCAGCAGCGAUGAGGAAGGGAAGCUGGUCAUUGAUGAGCCAGCCAAGGAGAAGAAUGAGAAAGGAGCGCUGAAGAGGAGGGCAGGGGACUUGCUGGAGGACUCUCCUAAACGUCCCAAGGAGGCAGAAAACCCUGAAGGAGAGGAGAAGGAGGCAGCCACCUUGGAGGGUGAGAGGCCCCUUCCUAUGGAGGUGGAAAAGAAUAGCACCCCCUCUGAGCCCGGCUCUGGCCGGGGGCCUCCCCAAGAGGAAGAAGAAGAGGAGGAUGAAGAGGAAGAGGCUACCAAGGAAGAUGCUGAGGCCCCAGGCAUCAGAGAUCAUGAGAGCCUGUAGCCACCAAUGUUUCAAGAGGAGCCCCCACCCUGUUCCUGCUGCUGUCUGGGUGCUACUGGGGAAACUGGCCAUGGCCUGCAAACUGGGAACCCCUUGCCCACCCCAACCUGCUCUCCUCUUCCACUCACUUUUCCCACUCCAAGCCCAGCCCAUGGAGAUUGACCUGGAUGGGGCAGGCCACCUGGCUCUCACCUCUAGAUCCCCAUACUCCUAUGAUCUGAGUCAGAGCCAUGUCUUCUCCCUGGAAUGAGAUGAGGCCAUUGUGUUCCUUCCACUUGGAGCUAUUUUCCAGG
rnacentral:sRNA from 1 species